rnacentral:rRNA from 1 species
GACGAACGCUGGCGGCGUGCUUAACACAUGCAAGUCGAACGGAAAGGCCCUGCUUUUGUGGGGUGCUCGAGUGGCGAACGGGUGAGUAACACGUGAGUAACCUGCCCUUGACUUUGGGAUAACUUCAGGAAACUGGGGCUAAUACCGGAUAGGAGCUCCUGCUGCAUGGUGGGGGUUGGAAAGUUUCGGCGGUUGGGGAUGGACUCGCGGCUUAUCAGCUUGUUGGUGGGGUAGUGGCUUACCAAGGCUUUGACGGGUAGCCGGCCUGAGAGGGUGACCGGCCACAUGGGGACGGGGAUACGGCCCAGACUCCUACGGGGGGCAGCAGUGGGGAAAAUUGCACAAGGGGCGGAAGCCUGAUGCAGCAACGCCGCGGGGGGGAUGACGGCCUUCGGGUUGUAAACCGCUUUCGCCUGUGACGAAGCGUGAGUGACGGUAAUGGGAAAAGAAGCACCGGCUAACUACGU